rnacentral:lncRNA from 1 species
GUUUAUUAUCGGGAAGUGCGGUGCUUAUAUACGGCACGGAGAAACGCGGAAGUUCGAAGGCGGGAAUAACCAAAUAACCCGACAAAGGCGGGAGUAACUAGGCAACGGUGGGCAGUCCUAGUUCUUGAGGCGGGCGUAGCUAGGCAACGGUAGGCAGUCCUUACUUAAAGGGAAAGGCACGUAAGACGGCUACUAAUACACAAUGGAGGUCAGUCACGGUCUCCUACACAAUGGAGUACUACUCAGCCAUAAAGAAGGAUAAACUUGAAACAUUUCUAGAGACUAGGAAUUCAUUGGAAAUUUUGGCCACAGCAACAGAAAACCAACUACGCCCCACCUUACCCAACCCUACCCUGAUUCUUCAGUGCUGCACAGACAGAACACCGGGAGCCAGUUUUCUGGAUUUUCAAGAGCAACGGCCUGCCUUGCCCUGGAGCGCAGCCUUCCCUGGAAGGGAAGCCUGGCAGUGUGACCUCCACGUGCAGCUGGGAGGAGCGAGGUAAUGGCCACUGCCUGCAGCUGCCCCUCUGAGUGACUUGAUUUACAGCUGCUUUGGGAGCCCCACAAUAUUACGUCUCUUGAUUUCAUACCCACAGAAUGUCUCAGCCUUUCUACGCCGUGACUGCGUUAGGUGGUAUUAACGAUUUUCCACUGGGGCGUGUAAAACCUUGGCUUUUAUCCAAACCGAAAUUCAGCCACCCCUUGAGCAUUAUAAUUAAGGUCUAAGUAGAACUUGGCAUCAUUCUUGGGUCCCCCAAAUCAGUCAGCUAACAUCAG